rnacentral:rRNA from 1 species
GAGUUUGAUCCUGGCUCAGAAUGAACGUUGGCGGCAUGGAUUAGGCAUGCAAGUCGAGCGAGAAGGAAAUCAAAGUUUACUUUGGUUUCCGGAAAGCGGCGCAAGGGAGAGUAACGCGUAGUUAUCUACCCCAAGGCCCGGAAUAGCUGCGGGAAACUGCAGGUAAUGCCGGAUAAUAUCCCCGGAUCAAAGGUGUGAUUCCGCCUUGGGAGGAGACUGCGUUGUACUAGCUUGUUGGUAGGGUAAUGGCCUACCAAGGCUACGAUGCAUAGCGGGCGUGAGAGCGUGGCCCGUCUCACUGGGACUGAAACACUGCCCAGACACCUACGGGUGGCUGCAGUCGAGAAUCUUCGGCAAUGGGCGAAAGCCUGACCGAGCAAUGCCGCGUGCGGGAUGAAGGCCCUCGGGUUGUAAACCGCUGUCGUAGGGGAGAAAGGUCUCAUGAAGAAUGAGAUUUGAUCUAUCCUAGGAGGAAGUCCGGGCUAAGUUCGUGCCAGCAGCCGCGGUAACACGAACCGGACAAACGUUAUUCGGAAUUAUUGGGCUUAAAGGGUGCGUAGGCGGUGCGGUAAGUGCGGUGUGAAAUCCCUCGGCUCAACCGAGGAAUUGCGCUGCAUACUGCCGUGCUGGAGGGAGACAGAGGUAAGCGGAACUGAUGGUGGAGCGGUGAAAUGCGUUGAUAUCAUCAGGAACACCGGUGGCGAAAGCGGCUUACUGGGUCUCUUCUGACGCUGAGGCACGAAAGCUAGGGUAGCGAACGGGAUUAGAUACCCCGGUAGUCCUAGCCGUAAACGAUGAGCACUUGAUUGAGGGCCCCCACCAUAGGCUCUCGAUCGCAGCGAGAAGUGUAAGUGCUCCG